rnacentral:rRNA from 1 species
CCAAGGAGUCUAACAUGUGUGCGAGUCGUAGGGUUCGUCCGAAACCCGAAGGCGCAGUGAAAGUAGAGGUCGGAUAUCUCUCGGGAUGUUCGACCGAGGCGGGAUCCGUUCUGUUGUUUUCUUUUUAAUCUUUUAAAAGGUUUGAAGGGAUUCAAAAAUUUGAGAAACGAAACUAUUUGUUUCUUCCUUUUCUCCUUCGGGGGUUUAGGAGAAACAGUGUUUUUUUUUUUGGACGGCGCACCGCCGGCCCGUCUCAACCGCCGCGUCGGUGAGGCGGAGCAAGAGCACACACGUUGGGACCCGAAAGAUGGUGAACUAUUCCUAGGCAGGACGAAGCCAGAGGAAACUCUGGUGGAGGUCCGUAGCGUUUCUGACGUGCAAAUCGAUCGUCAGACCUGGGUAUAGGGGCGAAAGACUAAUCGAACCAUCUAGUAGCUGGUUCCCUCCGAAGUUUCCCUCAGGAUAGCUGGCUCUCGAGACACACAGUCUCAUCCGGUAAAGCGAAUGAUUAGAGGCCUUGGGGCCGAAACGACCUCAACCUAUUCUCAAACUUUCAAUGGGUGAGAAGUCCGGCUUGCUCGACUGAAGCCCGGACGUCGGAUGCGAGUGCCCAGGGGGCCACUUUUGGUAAGCAGAACUGGCGCUGUGGGAUGAACCAAACGCCGGGUUACGGCGCCAAAUGCGACGCUCAUCAGACACCAUGAAAGGUGUUGGUUGCUAUAGACAGCAGGACGGGGGCCAUGGAAGUCGGAAUUCGCUAAGGAGUGUGUAACAACUCACCUGCCGAAGCAACUAGGCCUGAAAAUGGAUGGCGCUCAAGCGUCGAGCCUAUACCCGGCCGCCGGGGCAGAGCCCGCUUGUGUUUGUUUUUUUUUUUUCCGUCAAAAAGAAAAGAGAAAAAUUUAUAGAUAAACGGCCCCAGACGCCCCGGCGAGUAGGAGGGUCGCGGCGGUGAGCGGAAAAGGGUCGGGCGUAGGCCCGCCUGGAGCCUCCGCCGGUGCAGAUCUUGGUGGUAGUAGCAAAUACUCGAGUGAGAACCUUGAGGACUGAUGUGGAGAAGGGUUCCAUGUGAACAGCAGUUGAACAUGGGUCAGUCGGCCCUAAGGAAUAGGGAAAUCCCGUUCCGAACGGGGGGGUGUAUAUAUCUUAAAAACAUAUUGUUGAAAUAAACCCCCGCCUAGACCGAAAGGGAAUCGGGUUAAUAUUCCCGAACCCGGACACGGAGAUCGGGCCCAUCGUGGUCCAGUGCGGUGACGCAAGCGACCUCGGAUACGUCGGCGGGUGUCCCGGAAAGAGUUGUCUUUUCUUUGUAAGGGACGGAAUCCCUGGAAUCGGUUCGCCCGGAGAUAGGGAUGUGGUUUCCGUAAAGCACCGCGCCUCCUGCGGUGUCCGGACAGCACUCGUCGGCCCUUGAAAAUCCGAGGAAGGUAGUGCGAUUUUCGUGCCGGGCCGUACCCAUAUCCGCAGCAGGUCU